rnacentral:rRNA from 1 species
AGGAUUAAGAUGGGCAUGCGUGUCAUUAGCUAGUGGCGGGGUAACGGCCCACCAAGGCGACGAUGACUAGGGGAUCUGAGAGGAUGACCCCCCACACUGGUACUGAGACACGGACCAGACUCCUACGGGAGGCAGCAGUAAGGAAUAUUGGUCAAUGGAGGCAACUCUGAACCAGCCAUGCCGCGUGCAGGAAGACUGCCCUAUGGGUUGUAAACUGCUUUUAUCUGGGAAUAAACCUAUUUACGUGUAGAUAGCUGAAUGUACCAGAAGAAUAAGGAUCGGCUAACUCCGUGCCAGCAGCCGCGGUAAUACGGAGGAUCCAAGCGUUAUCCGGAUUUAUUGGGUUUAAAGGGUGCGUAGGCGGCCUGUUAAGUCAGAGGUGAAAGACGGUAGCUCAACUAUCGCAGUGCCUUUGAUACUGAUGGGCUUGAAUGGACUAGAGGUAGGCGGAAUGAGACAAGUAGCGGUGAAAUGCAUAGAUAUGUCUCAGAACACCGAUUGCGAAGGCAGCUUACUAUGGUUUUAUUGACGCUGAGGCACGAAAGCGUGGGGAUCAAACAGGAUUAGAUACCCUGGUAGUCCACGCCCUAAACGAUGAACACUCGCUGUUGGCGAUACACAGUCAGCGGCUAAGCGAAAGCGUUAAGUGUUCCACCUGGGGA